rnacentral:rRNA from 1 species
GACGAACCGUACGAACGUUAUUCGGAAUCACUGGGCUUAAAGGGUGCGUAGGCGGCGCGACAAGUUGGGUGUGAAAUCCCUCGGCUCAACCGAGGAACUGCGCCCAAAACUGUCGUGCUCGAGGGAGACAGAGGUGAGCGGAACUUAGGGUGGAGCGGUGAAAUGCGUUGAUAUCCUAAGGAACACCCGGUGGCGAAAGCGGCUCACUGGGUCUCUUCUGACGCUGAGGCACGAAAGCUAAGGGUAGCGAACGG